CGGGUGGUAAUGCCGGAUGCUCCAGUUGAUCGCAUGGUCUUCUGGGAAAGCUUUCGCGGUAUGGGAUGGGGUCGCGUCCUAUCAGCUUGACGGCGGGGUAACGGCCCACCGUGGCUUCGACGGGUAGCCGGCCUGAGAGGGCGACCGGCCACAUUGGGACUGAGAUACGGCCCAGACUCCUACGGGAGGCAGCAGUGGGGAAUAUUGCACAAUGGGCGCAAGCCUGAUGCAGCGACGCCGCGUGAGGGAUGGAGGCCUUCGGGUUGUAAACCUCUUUUAUCGGGGAGCAAGCGAGAGUGAGUUUACCCGUUGAAUAAGCACCGGCUAACUACGUGCCAGCAGCCGCGGUAAUACGUAGGGUGCAAGCGUUAUCCGGAAUUAUUGGGCGUAAAGGGCUCGUAGGCGGUUCGUCGCGUCCGGUGUGAAAGUCCAUCGCUUAACGGUGGAUCCGCGCCGGGUACGGGCGGGCUUGAGUGCGGUAGGGGAGACUGGAAUUCCCGGUGUAACGGUGGAAUGUGUAGAUAUCGAAAAAA
rnacentral:rRNA from 1 species